GGGCGGUUAGCUCAGCUGGGAGAGCAUCGCCCUUACAAGGCGAGGGUCACUGGUUCGAGCCCAGUACCGCCCACCA
rnacentral:tRNA from 3 species